CAGCUGUAAACGAUGCAGACUAGGUGUUUGGACGGCCACGUGCCGUUCUAGUGCCGCAGGGAAGCUGUUAAGUCUGCCGCCUGGGGAGUACGAUCGCAAGAUUGAAACUUAAAGGAAUUGGCGGGGGAGCACCACAACGGGUGGAGCCUGCGGUUUAAUCGGACUCAACGCCGGGAAUCUCACCGGAUAAGACAGCUGAAUGAUAGUCGGGAUGAAGACUCUACUUGACUAGCUGAGAGGUGGUGCAUGGCGUCAGUGACU
rnacentral:rRNA from 1 species